rnacentral:rRNA from 1 species
UACGUAGGGUGCAAGCGGUGUCCGGAAUUAUUGGGCGUAAAGAGCUUGUAGGCGGUUUGUCGCGUCUGCUGUGAAAUUUCGGGGCUCAACCCCGAACUUGCAGUGGGUACGGGCAGACUAGAGUGUGGUAGGGGAGACUGGAAUUCCUGGUGUAGCGGUGAAAUGCGCAGAUAUCAGGAGGAACACCGGUGGCGAAGGCGGGUCUCUGGGCCGUAACUGACGCUGAGGAGCGAAAGCAUGGGGAGCGAACAGG